UGACAAUGACUUGUGGAAAAUAAUAUUCGGAAUUAUGUCAAUUUGCUUGUGCGUUAUUAGCUACUAGUAAUUUUGUUGUGCGUUAUUAGCUACCAGUGACUUGAAAUUAUGUUGUAUAAUUUCUGCGCCGGAAAAGUGUAGACGAUAUAAUUAAUGCACAGGAAGCUACAAAAAAACGAAAAAAAUAAAAAUAAAUAAAACUAAC
rnacentral:lncRNA from 1 species